rnacentral:rRNA from 1 species
AACGAACGCUGGCGGCGUGCCUAACACAUGCAAGUCGAGCGCGAAUGGAGCAAUCCUAGUAGCGCGGCGCACGGGUGCGUAACACGUGGGUAAUCUGCCUGGGAGACCGGAAUAACCUGCCGAAAGGCUGGCUAAUACCGGAUAAGCCCACGGACUCUUCGGAGUCUGAGGGAAAAGGUGGCCUCUGUAUACAAGCUAUCACUUCCAGAUGAGCCCGCGGCCCANCAGCUCGUUGGCGGGGUAAGGCCCACCAAGGCAACGACGGGUAGCUGGUCUGAGAGGACGAUCAGCCACACUGGAACUGAGACACGGUCCAGACUCCUACGGGAGGCAGCAGUGGGGAAUUUUGCACAAUGGGCGAAAGCCUGAUGCAGCAACGCCGCGUGUGUGAUGAAGGUCUUCGGAUCGUAAAGCACUUUCGACCGGGACGAAACCCGUUC